AACGAACGCUGGCGGCAUGCCUAACACAUGCAAGUCGAACGAGACCUUCGGGUCUAGUGGCGCACGGGUGCGUAACGCGUGGGAAUCUACCCUCAGGUUCGGAAUAACUCAGAGAAAUUUGAGCUAAUACCGGAUGAUGACGUAAGUCCAAAGAUUUAUCGCCUGAGGAUGAGCCCGCGUAGGAUUAGGUAGUUGGUGAGGUAAAGGCUCACCAAGCCGACGAUCCUUAGCUGGUCUGAGAGGAUGAUCAGCCACACUGGGACUGAGACACGGCCCAGACUCCUACGGGAGGCAGCAGGGGGGAAUAUUGGACAAUGGGCGAAAGCCUGAUCCAGCAAAGCCGCGUGAGUGAUGAAGGCCUUAGGGUUGUAAAGCUCUUUUACCCGGGAUGAUAAUGACAGUACCGGGAGAAUAAGCUCCGGCUAACUCCGUG
rnacentral:rRNA from 1 species